UACAGAGGUCCCGAGCGUUGUUCGGAUUCACUGGGCGUAAAGGGUGCGUAGGUGGUGGGGUAAGUCGGAUGUGAAAGCUCGGAGCUCAACUCCGAAAUGGCAUUGGAAACUACCCUGCUAGAGGAUUGGAGGGGGGACUGGAAUACUUGGUGUAGCAGUGAAAUGCGUAGAUAUCAAGUGGAACACCAGUGGCGAAGGCGAGUCCCUGGACAAUACCUGACACUGAGGCACGAAAGCUAGGGGAGCAAACAGG
rnacentral:rRNA from 1 species